CUUGGGCACAUGAACAUGAACCUGUCAAGGGACUUUUGGAUGCUGUUAAGACAAUCAAGCCAACAGUAUUGAUCGGAUCAUCUGGAGUUGGAAAAACAUUCACAAAGGAGGUGGUUGAGGCCAUGGCAUCCUUCAACGAGAAACCGCUAAUUCUCGCCCUCUCCAAUCCUACUUCACAAUCUGAGUGUACAGCUGAAGAAGCUUAUACAUGGAGUAAGGGUCGUGCUAUCUUUGCUAGUGGAAGUCCGUUUGACCCUGUUGAAUACAAUGGGAAAGUUUUUGUGCCUGGCCAGGCAAACAAUGCUUACAUAUUCCCUGGAUUUGGCUUGGGGUUGAUCAUGUCUGGUGCAAUUCGUGUGCAUGAUGACUUGCUUUUGGCAGCCUCCGAAGCUUUGGCCGCACAAGUAAAACAGGAAAACUUUGACAAGGGACUGAUUUACCCUCCAUUUUCCAACAUCCGGAAAAUUUCAGCCCACAUUGCUGCUAAAGUUGCUGCCAAAGCAUAUGAACUUGGUUUGUCAUCUCGUCUCCCACGUCCUAAGGAUCUUGUCCAGCAUGCAGAGAGCUGCAUGUACAGCCCAGUCUACCGAUGCUACCGUUAAACCUGCAGUGUAGUUUUGCACACUUUGUGGCCUGCAAUGUGCUUUAAGCCUUUCUCUUCUCAUUUCUGUUUGAAUUUUUUACCCUUUUUACAAAUUUUUGUAGUGACUGGAUUGUAAUUCAGUCGACUAUCAAUUAUUAAUUUCAGUUCUUAGCCAGUAAAAUUUUGGCAUUACUAUCAGAGCUCGACUUCCCUUUCCCUUAUUCCCUGAGAAUGUUGUCAAUUUUUUUUUAAAAUUUAUUCUGAUAAAUGAAUAUUAUAAAUCAUUGAAGAGGAAUUAAAAAGAAAU
rnacentral:misc_RNA from 1 species